CUGCAGAAGUCCAUCUUCAACCUUUGAAAAGAUUUCAAAAAUUUGAAGAAAGGAUCCAGAUCAGCCAAAGAGAAGGUCUUCGUGCAAGCUAGCAUUCUCAAGAAGACUGAUCAGAUUGAAACUUCGAGUGAACUUUCUAUAGAGAUCGGACGUAUGUAUGGCUAUGAGCAACCAGCAAAAAUCAUCUCUACCAUAUCUCUCA
rnacentral:lncRNA from 1 species